UACAGAGGUGGCAAGCGUUGUCCGGAAUCAUUGGGCGUAAAGAGCGUGUAGGCGGCCAGAAAAGUCCGCUGUGAAAACUCGAGGCUCAACUUCGAGCUGUCGGUGGAAACUUUCUGGCUAGAGUCCGGAAGAGGAGAAUGGAAUUCCUGGUGUAGCGGUGAAAUGCGCAGAUAUCAAGAAGAACACCCGUGGCGAAGGCGGUUCUCUGGGACGGUACUGACGCUGAGGCGCGAAAGCGUGGGGAGCAAACAGG
rnacentral:rRNA from 1 species